CUAGUGGUAGAGCAUGUAAUUACACUACCUGUCGCUAUUUAGUUUCAAAUAUUGGGGUGGGGCCUCUGGCUGUCAGUGAGGGUGUAAGGAGCAGGAAAGACGUCAAUAUUAGUGUAGACAUGUCAAUAACGAUGUCCAAUCCGGAAGUCCAAGUGAAGAAAAGGGUCAAUUCCACCAGCUGGUUGAUUGACAGGUUGGGUCACGUGGCUCGAACGCCGGCUCUCAGGAUCUCAGGACAAACAAGCGGGCCACAAAGUACGAGAGCGCAUCGAGAGUAGCAGUGGUUCUCAACUGGCUUGGCUGUGGAACCCACAUCAUCCCUCAGUUGAGUCUCUCACCUGAAUCAGAGAUUUCAUCCCAGUACGGGGAGUCAAACUCAUAAUCUCCUGCAAGGAUCUUCCGGAACAGGUUCUUGUCGUGAUUUUCAUAAUCAUCUUCAUCACUCUCAUCAUAGAAAGGAGGGUUCCCCGACAGCCUGGAGUUUCAAAAAGAUAAAAAAAAGUGUAAUAACCAUUCCCGGGUCAGAGUCAGCCGUCCUACUGCCAAGUCCUGAAUGUGUGGACUCACAAUAUGUACAUGAUGACGCCCGUCGCCCAGCAGUCCACAGGCCGACCGUAGCGCUGCCUGCCAACCACCUCUGGAGCUGCACACAAACACCCAACCCAAAUGAGGUCCACAUAUCUGGGAAUGUUAAACAAAAGUUGAAUAUCUCACCCAGGUACUCUGGCGUCCCGCAGGGAUCUUUGAUUAAUCCAUUCUCCAGUUUGGCAAGGUGGAAGUCACUGAUGACUAUUUUAGAGUGCUUCAGGCGGUUGUAGUACACCAAGUUCUCCAGCUGGGGCACAUGGAAUUACAUGGAUAUAGUAUAAUAAGUAUAAUAAGUCAUUAAGACAACACCACACAGCCCCCCAGUAACAUUCCAAUGCUGCCAUCACAGUACUUCCAACAGUACUUUCCUAUUAUUGGCUUUUUGUUGAAAAUAUUUGGCAUACACCUCCACGUUCUCUGAGCACUUAUCAAAUGCACUUCUGCCACCUAGUGGCCGUUUUUAUGGCUUUAAAUUGCUGGGAAGUGAAAUGCAUUAGUGGAGAGUCACCUCUUUUGCCUCUCGCUCAAAAAAAAACCUCGAAAGACGUAUAAAGACGUUGUUGGGAUCGGGCGUUUGGGUUUAUAAACAUUUUUGCUAGUUGAUAAUUGUGCUAUUAAUUAUCGACUUUCAUCUUGAAAGAAAAUAUCACUGUCAUGUCACAUUUGAGCCACUAGAGGGUACUAAAGUGUAGUGUACCUCUAUGAGACAUGACAGCCUUUUUUUUUUACAAAAACCGUACAGCAAAGCACUCUGGGAAGACGGUGCCUUGACUCAAUAGUACUCCCACCUACGCUAUAUUAUAAAGAUUGUCUCUGUUGUGCUUGAAUGCAACACUACGCCUGUGCUUGAACACCACUUCCUGUGCAUUACAAGCUGGACCACCGCUCGAUAAAUCGAUACAUCCAUUAUCGAAACAGGCCGACGUGUAACUGACUCAUAUAUCAAGGAAAUGAAUUGGAGGCGGUCUGGUACGGAGCCAGGCUACACGGCGGUCGAGUGGUUAGCAGGCAGCUAGGAGACCCGAGUUCGAUUCCACCCUCGGGCAUCUCUGUGUGGAGUUUGCAUGUUCUCCCUGUGCAUCCGGUUUCCUCCCGCAUUCCAAAAACAUGCUAGGUUAAUUGGCUACUCCAAAUGGGAAUGGCUGUUUGUCUAUAUGUGCCCUGUGAUUGGCUGGCUGGGAUAGGCUCCAGCUGUCUCCAGCGGUAGAAAAUGGAUGAAUGAAUGGUCCAGAGCCAAUUCACCGAUUGAGUAUAAGUUGAGUUUAAUCUGAGCGAUUCCCCACGAUCAUUACCUUGAGGUUUCGGUGAACAAUGUGUAGGGAGUGGAGGUAGGCCACGGCCUCCAAAACCUGGCGCACCACAUUGCUGGUGUCCCGCUCGGAGUAAUAACCUUGAUCCAGGAUCCAGUCGAACACUUCUCUGCCUGUUGCGCUGCGGGAGAACAGGAAGUCCAAUUUAAUGUAGUACAUUUGUGCAGGUAUCAAAUCAACUUUGAAAGAAAACCGGGUCAUCCUCACGUACUUUAAGUACUAUCUACUGAGAGAGGAAAGUAAUUUAAGAUGGUGACCAUAAAUCACAUAUUUCGUGUGACUCUAGGGUUGUCUCAUUCUCCUCCCGCUUUGUCAUUUAUUUUUAAGCAAAUACCAAAUGUUCAUAUCUGCGAGGUCUAGGGCUGCUCCUCAUGGGCACGGUGUGUGCUCAUCUGAGUGACAAAAAUAACGCAGGGAUCCUUUUGUCCUUGCUCCUUAUCCACUCACAGCUCCAGGAAGAGAAAGUACUCCUUCUUAGUCUCAAAGACAUCCACCAGUUGGAGAAUAUUGGGAUGCUUCACCCUGAGGAAAAAACAGCGAUCGAUUAAAAUGCGAAAAAACAAAAGUUACUUACAGAACGCAAAACAAUACCAAUUUACAUACUAUGUUUAACCCGCAAGGCAUGCUGGGAACAGCCUGGGAAAAUACAAACAAUGUAAAGUGAAAGCAAAGUGAUUAGCAAUAAGGGGGUGUUACGAUCCGCAGCAUUAAAAGGGGGAGCUGUCAGGAGCCUAAUUGUGGUUUCCUCCACUGAUUAACAAUAUUACAUUAAUUAAGACUUAAACGGGCGCCUCUUCUCCUCACUAAUGGCAUUUGCCAGCAAUUAUUCAUAGCCUUUGACAAUAACAAGCUGUUUAUUUCUUCAUCACUGAUGAUUAAAACAUAAACAAGCGUAACAAGCGUCGCUCAGCCUUGAAUUGAGCAAAGGCUAGCAAGGGAUGGAGG